CCGAGGUGAUUAGCAGCAGGGCUCCACUCUCGCAAAUGAGACUGGCCUUGUGAAAGGGGUCGAGGGAACUAACUUGGCCCUUUCUGCCCUUCUGCCUUAUGCCACAUGAAGACACUGUCCCUUCUGCCAUGUGAAGACGCAGUAAGAAGUUCCUCACCAGACACCAAAUGCUGGUGCCUCGAUUGUGGACUUCCCAGCCUCGGAAACUAACACAAGCUGGGAAGUGAGUAAGGAGAGCAUCUUUUGCAAAGGGGAGAAGACACUGAUUGGAAAGCAUUUAUGCUGCAGCCAUAGCUCAAAAUAUUAAUCUGUGAAUUUACCAAGGCACUGUUAGGUGCUGUAGACACAAAGCUUUGGCCUUGAAUACCUCUCAGUCUAGAAGGAGAUGUGAACAUGCUCCUAGAUUUAUUACAGCCGACUAGGAUCAGUGCUAUUAUGGAGCUAAGAAGAAAGGGUCAAAGCCGGGAGGAAUUAAUUCUGCUUCACUGGGGAGGUGAGGUUUGAGCUAUAUUUUGAAGGAUGAUAAAGAAGAGGCUUGAACAGUGGAAUUAACAAAUGCAAAAAAAAAAAAAAAGAAUUUCUUAAAUUAUCUAGGAAUUGGUUAUAAGUUCAGUAUGGUAGGCGUAGUGUACAAAGGGGAGUUUUGGGAGAUGAAGUCAGAAAGAUAUUUUGAAGACUGAAUUAGUUAUCUAUUGCUGUGGAACAAAUUACCUCAAAACUUAGUGGCUUAAGAACAAUGAAUUAUUUCAUUGUUUUGGUGGGUCAGGAAUUUGAGACCAGCUUAGCUGAGUGUUUUGGUUUGGAAGUUGCAGUUAAGAUACCAGCUGGGGCUGAAGUCACCUUAAGGUGUCAAUGGGGCUGGAGGAUCUGCUUCAAAGGUGACUCACUCACAUGCCUGGCAUGUUUAUUGCUGUUCUGUUGGCAGAAGACUCCAGUUUCUCAUCUCAGGGACCAUUCCAGAGGGCUGCUGAGGAGUCCUCAUGACGUGGCAGCUGGCUUCCCCCAGAGAAGAGAAGGAAGUACCCAGCACCGCAGAAGUCAAGUGUUAGCUGACCCAAUACUCACAUGGUAA
rnacentral:lncRNA from 13 species